AAAGAAAUCAGCUAGAGUGGCCUGCUUUCAACACUGAGAGUUAGUGAUGCAAGGCCAUGUCAGCUCCUACCAAAGAUUCCUACUCACGCUCGGGGCACAUAAGUAAGGUAAGGAACUGCGGACUGAGAGGAACAUCGAUCAGCUUCCCCAAGUUCUCGUCAACAAGAUCACCAUCCCAAGAGUAGAUACCUGCAAGAAGUCUGUCCACUGAAUCUGUGAAUUUACACCUGAGACUUUGAUCUGUUUUCACAGUGUCACUUUUGGGUCACGGAAGGAUGCCGGCUGUGGUCCGUGCACUCACAGAAACUAUAAACCAUCUUUGAGGAAGGACUCAGUCUACCUGAAGAGUGUGUUGAAGGGAAAAGUAAAACAAAGUCGUGGAACUGCAAGAAGAGGAUGAAAUGGAUGAAGAAAAAGAGAAGAAAACCAUGUCUCAGCCCCAAAAGUUGAAGAGCGAGAAGAGACUGCAAUGACCCUAAACUACCUUUCCUUUUAUCCGAGAGCUCGGCCAGGCUGCAAGGCCCCCGCUCUGCCCUUGCUGAAGCCGACCUCGCAGAUCUAGGCCUGGGGUUGCGGGGCUGAGGUGCCUUCCAGCCGACAGCCGCUGGUGCUCGAGCUCUUUCCAAAUACAGUUGGGGACCAAUCAAGAAGAGAGCCUCCAGGGGUAGAGAGGAUAUACAAGGAAUGCCACCCCUAGAUAAAAGGAAAUUAUUUAACCACCAUGUGACAAAGAGAGGAAUUUCUCUUGCCGCUAGGAAUGUUCAACUGGCUCAUUCUUUGGCCCUGCCCUGCGGUUUACCCUGGUCUAACGCACCCUUAAAAGGGCAGCGAUGAGGUAACAGCGUUUCUCUUCGUAAUCUUCGUCUCAUUUUGUAAUCCGGUUCAUGGAAGAAACCUGUCAAACAAGAAGUGGGACUCAGGGGCAGAUGUUAAAACAUGCACUCCUCCAGGAGAGAGUAAAAACUGUCUGGGAAAUGAAAGUUCCUGUUCUCUUAAUGUUACAGACUCAUCACGAGAGAAACUUCUUGUGUUUGACACCCUGCAUUGGCCAUGAUCAAUAUUGGACGGCGCGCUGCAAAGGGUUCUCUCAUUUCCACAAAGCUUAAUUAGCAAAAGUUGCCUCUCUUCACACCGUGAAGAGUUUCAGUGCUACAUAAAAAUGGACUGGCUGAACACACUGGAUGUUGGGAAUGUGGUGAUGAGCAACCUUUUCCUCCUUGAUAAGAAAACAAGAGGCUUAUGGAACAUAUUUUUGGAAGGAAUAAUCUAGUAGUGUGAAUGAGUUUUACAUUUAAAAUAAAAAGAAAGGGAGAAAGGAUGACCUCUGUCUAGAUGGAAGGUCGGUCAGAAAGCAAGUUAACCCUGGACAUCCAGAAGUGCAGAAUGGAAUUAGCAGACACGUCAGAAGGGGACCAAAAGUUAGACGGGGGAGGCUGCAAAUACUAAAAGUAGACUUUCCUGUGAACUAACCCAAUUCACUUUCACCGAUGUGCUAACAAAGAGAAAUUCUGCAUCAAGGACUUGCUUGGCUGGCAGUGGUUAAAACUGGAGGUUGGUAGGCUUUCCUUUUUUUCCCUCUGUGUAUGCCUGGUGAGUAUAUCAUGGUAAAAUUGUGUAUUAUGGUACCCUCUAAUAUAAUUUGUUUGGGCUUAACUUCAAUGUGAUAAAUGGGAUGAAAAUUUCAGAAAUUUGUCUUAACACCUAAAA